UUCGGCGUCGGUGAUCGAUGUGCUGCCAUCACCCCGCGAGGCCAACAGUAACAGGUCACUUUCAUCCACGAGACAGCUCGGAGUGUAUGAGGUCCACAAAUGUCGCGAGGUGUCAACUGGGAGAGAAGGAAGUGUUCCACUGAAAUCCACGCGACAGGAUGACACGUGGUCCACAGGAUGAGACGCUCUCGAAGGUGGUGAAAUAUAUUUGUCUUUUUCUGGCCUUUCUGAAUGAAACGGAACAGGCUGUACAGGCCGGAGGCGGAGCGUUGCUGCGUUAAAAUAGAUUCCAGAAGAAGAGAAUUGAAAAGUCAGACGGCCAUGAUGAUGAUGAUGAUGAUGAUGAUGACUGGGACCCUCACCAAAGGAAACCCCUUGCUUUCCUGUUUCUCACAAAUUGGACUGAGAAUAAUUGUCGCUGCGUCUCUGGCACAGCUUCUCAUUCUCACCCUGCAAACACAGGAAACUUUAGUUUUAAAUGCAGCAUGAAUAUGUGCCACUGAUGCAAACUUCUGCUUCUGUACAUGAGAAACUGUUUGAUUCUUAUGCGUAAAUCACGGAGCACAUGGACUCAAAGUUCCACUUAAAACAGAACAAGUAGAAAGCUACUGAUGCGGCAGUUUACCAUAAUAACCUUGAAUUCCCUCAGCUGUAAAGAUCAGUCAAAAACAGCUCUGAGUAAAAAUAUAUUUGGACUCUAUCAGGGUUUUGCAGACUCACUGAGAAAUGUUUGAGCUCCAUGGUCGAGAAAUUCUAAAAACACUUAAUAAUAAGACUGUAAUACACACGUAAUGAAUAAUUAAUGCCUGACCCAUGAUGAUAUAAUACAUGGAUGAAGGCAGGAUCAUGAAUUUCUGUUGCCUUCUAUUAAGAAACGAUUAAGUCAAUAUUUUAAAUUUCAUGUCAUUAGCUAAUGUUCAAUAAUGAAUGGAUGUUAAUUUUAUGUUAUUUCAUACGUUCAUUGAUAUGAUAAGUCACAGCCAGAUUCCUUCCGUUUAUAUAUUGUCCUUUACAAUCUAACGUGUUGGUGUGAAGAAAUAAACUCAUGUCUCAUGCGCUACCAUACAGAAA